rnacentral:piRNA from 1 species
UGACCGACAUUAACACUCACGUCUGCCA